rnacentral:rRNA from 1 species
GACGAACGCUGGCGGCGUGCUUAACACAUGCAAGUCGAACGGAAAGGCCCUGCUUUUGUGGGGUGCUCGAGUGGCGAACGGGUGAGUAACACGUGAGUAACCUGCCCUUGACUUUGGGAUAACUUCAGGAAACUGGGGCUAAUACCGGAUAGGAGCUCCUGCUGCAUGGUGGGGGUUGGAAAGUUUCGGCGGUUGGGGAUGGACUUGCGGCUUAUCAGCUUGUUGGUGGGGUAGUGGCUUACCAAGGCUUUGACGGGUAGCCGGCCUGAGAGGGUGACCGGCCACAUUGGGACUGAGAGACGGCCCAGACUCCUACAGGAGGCAGCAGUGGGGAGUAUUGCACAGUGGGCGGAAGCCUGAUGCAGCAACGCCGCGUGCGGGAUGACGGCCUUCGGGUUGUAAACCGCUUUCGCCUGUGACGAAGCGUGAGUGACGGUAAUGGGUAAAGAAGCACCGGCUAACUACGUG